rnacentral:rRNA from 1 species
GAUGAACGCUGACAGAAUGCCUAACACAUGCAAGUCUUUGGCGAAGCUGUGCUUGCACAGCCUAGUCAAGGCGGACGGGUGAGUAACGCGUAAGGAACUUGCCCUGCAGUCAGGGAUAACAGACGGAAACGACUGAUAAGACCUGGUAAAGUCAGGCGGACUCAUGUCCAGCCUGAUGAAAAGAGAUGCUGCAGGAGAGCCUUGGGUCGUAUUAGCUUGUUGUUGGGGUAACGGCCCACCAAGGCGAUGAUAGGUAGCCGGCCUGAGAGGGUGCACGGCCACAAGGGGUAUGAGAUGCAGCCGUUGGUCCUAUGGGAGGAUGCAGUGAAGAAUAAUGGAGCAAGGGGGCGAGCGUGAAGAAGGAAUUCUGUGUGCACAACGAAGGUUUUCGGGUUGAAAAGUGCUUUGAGCAGAGAAGAAAAAAAUGACGGUACCUGCAGAAGAAGCGACGGCUAAAUACGUG